UACAGAGGUCUCAAGCGUUGUUCGGAUUCAUUGGGCGUAAAGGGUGCGUAGGCGGCGCGGUAAGUCGGGUGUGAAAUCUCGGAGCUUAACUCCGAAACUGCAUUCGAUACUGCCGUGCUUGAGGACUGGAGAGGAGACUGGAAUUUACGGUGUAGCUGUGAAAUGCGUAGAUAUCGUAAGGAAGACCAGUGGCGAAGGCGGGUCUCUGGACAGUUCCUGACGCUGAGGCACGAAGGUCAGGGGAGCAAACGGG
rnacentral:rRNA from 1 species